ncrna:unclassified sequences drum RNA
AAGCUGUGAUGUGUAAGGGCGUGCCGAUAUGCGCUGUUGCGCGGAGCUUUCGGGAAGGGUUGUGUAGUGAAACCUCAAAUCGGCUUAGGCUGAAAGGCUGAAAGAAAAUACACUAG